AACGAACGCUGGCGGCAGGCCUAACACAUGCAAGUCGAACGCCCUAGCAAUAGGGAGUGGCAGACGGGUGAGUAACACGUGGGAACCUUCCCUAUAGUACGGAAUAUACCAGGGAAACUUGGAGCAAUACCGUAUACGCCCGAGAGGGGAAAGAUUUAUCGCUAUAGGAUGGGCCCGCGUAGGAUUAGCUAGUUGGUGAGGUAAUGGCUCACCAAGGCGACGAUCCUUAGCUGGUUUGAGAGAACGACCAGCCACACUGGGACUGAGACACGGCCCAGACUCCUACGGGAGGCAGCAGUGGGGAAUCUUGCGCAAUGGGCGAAAGCCUGACGCAGCGACGCCGCGUGAGGGAUGACGGCCU
rnacentral:rRNA from 1 species